AAGCCUCGUCUUCGGUGGUCAAGUCAGGUUUCAGGAUUCUUGAGAAGUUCUUGAGUACCGCGCGGGAUCGGACUCGAAGGUAAUCCUAGCAACAUUAACUCUUUUGACAGUAUGUGAAGAUUGACAUUAUUAAACGCACCGAUGAUAUCGAAAAAAAUUGCGAACAAUGUAUUGUGUUGUUUAAAAGAAUGAAAAAUAUCUAAUUGAAGAUGAGUUAUACUCUCUCUAGCAGAUCUACCUUUUCUAAAACCAAACUGGUUAGAGGGUUUUGUCAAGGAGUGAUAUAUAUGUGAAGGUGCACACUUGUGUUGAAUUAAAGUAGAUUGUUCUGCAGUUACAUUAAUAAUGGCAGUUAAUUCUGAAUAUGACUUUAAUGGAUUGGAAAGGUCGAAGUUAUGGUUUGACAUCAAACUAUCUAACACCAUUGUAUAUUUUUUAAAAUCAAUGUUUCUACUACUUAAAUGAUGAGGAAAAGGUAAAUGAAAGCUACCAAGUGGGUCAUCAGUUACUAUCCAGUCAGAAUUAAGAGCCAAAGAAGGCGAAACAAUGGUUAAAUCCAAGGCAUUGGGCUGCCAAAUGUGUGAGCCAACAGUUGUAGGAUGUCCAUUAUUAAGUAUGACCAAACCAUUUUCAUCUGAACUUUCAUAGAUGUCACGACCCCUAGCAUCGAUAGAUGAACAUCCCCAAAGCAGGUGGUGGGCAUUAAAGUCACCUGCUAGAAAUAUUGGUUCCGGAAUAUUACGGAUGAGAUUAUUUAACUUUUUCUUUGAAAACUGAAGAGUGCAAUUACCUGGACUAUAUAGACUUAUUAUAGAUAAUUCUUUAUUACAAUAUUUUAAUCUAAUAGCAAUAUUUUGAAGUGAAUCAUCAUAUUUUGUUUGUAUACUAGUGUAAUUUAAUUUAUUGUGAAUUAGUAUGGCUACACCAUUAUGAGUGUUGCCUGAAUCUAACCUAACCAAGUUAUAUUCUUUAAAUCUUAUUUUGUGAUGUGGUUUUAGCCACGUUUCACAAAUUACUGCAAUGUGAAUAUUGUUCUCAUAUAAAAAUUGUGAAAAAAUAUGUCUAUGGCACAUUAAGCUCUGAGCAUUCCAUUGAACUAUGUUCAGACUGUCCAUUAGUGUAAUAUGUUAUUUUGUUUUUCUACAUUAAAUGUCUC